UGGUAUUAAGAAGUCACACCAAAUUAACCACGCUUCCGCAAAGCCAGGGUGUGACAAUAUGAACAAGAAAACCUGUCCUUAACGGGAUGGUACUUACUUUCAUACAGGUGCUGCAUGGCUGUCGUCAGCUCGUGUCGUGAGAUGUUUGGUCAACUCCUAUAACGACAAAACCCUCGUUUUGUGUAGCUGAGACAUGCGCCUAAGGAGAAAGUCUUUGCAGCCGAAGUCAGCCGAGGAGCCGAGUGACGUGCCAGCGCUACUAAUUGAGUGCCAGCACGUAGCUGUGCUGACAGUAAGGUCGGCGCCUUUCGAAGCCUAAGCCCUUUCUUUUCUAGCGUGCGCUUUAGUUUGAUUGCAACUAGCGCGCUUGACUAAGAAGAUAGAAAGGGUUUUUCUCGCUUGGUUAGUAAAGUCAAGUUUUUGGCCUUAUCUUGCAGGUGAUGACGACGUCGAGUUGACGGCAGAGAAAGACUGGGCAUUCAGGCGAGCCGCCCGGUGGUGUGGUACAUAGUGGGUUUAGUACGCCCUGCCAAAACGGCUAUGAAACAAACAAAAAGGUGCGUGCCGCACUCACGAAGGACUGCCAGUGAUAUACUGGAGGAAGGUGGGGAUGAUGUUAAGUCCGCAUGGCCUUUAUGGGCUCGGCCACACACGUGCUACAAUGGCAAUUACAAUGGGAAGCAAGGCUAUAAGGCGGAGGGAAUCCGGAAAGAUUGCCUCAGUUCGGAUUGUUCUCUGCAACUCGGGAACAUGAAGUUGGAAUCGCUAGUAAUCGCGGAUCAGCAUGUCGUGGUGAAUAUGUACUGGGGCCCUGUACACACCACCCGUCACACCCUGGGAAUAGGUUUCGCCCGAAGCAUCGGACCAAUGAUCACCCAUGACUUCUGUGUACCACUAGUGCCACAACAGCUUUUGGUGGUCUUAUUGGCGCCUACCACGGUGGGGUCUUCGACUGGGGUGAAGUCGUAACAAGGUAGCCGUAGGGGAACCUGUGGCUA
rfam:Helianthus annuus linkage group 10, whole genome shotgun sequence.